CCCGCCACUGUACCAGUCUGCCCCGUGACACGGUUCAGUCCAGUGGAGGCUAAGAGCAACCCCAGCUUUAGGAAACAGGGCCGCCCACAUGGAUGGGUGACUCUGUGCCGAAAAGUCUGGAACACGC
ensembl:snoRNA small nucleolar RNA SNORA65